CACGGAAAGGAUUGACAGAGUGAUAGCUCUUUCUCGAUUCUGUAGGUGGUGGUGCAUGGCCGUUCUUAGUUGGUGGAGUGAUUUGUCUGGUUAACGAUAACGAUAACGAGACUCCUAUGGCAGCAUUUAAAAUAUUUGUGAAAACAAAAAUUAUAAUAUUUUAUUUGACCUAAACAUGGCGUAAAUUACUGGUGUCAAUAAUGGUGUAAUAACUUU
rnacentral:ncRNA from 1 species